rnacentral:rRNA from 1 species
CCUACGGGUGGCUGCAGUGGGGAAUAUUGCACAAUGGGGGAAACCCUGAUGCAGCGACGCCGCGUGAGUGCAGAAGUAUCUCGGUCUGUAAAGCUCUAUCAGCAGGGAAGAAAAUGACGGUACCUGACUAAGAAGCCCUGGCUAACUACGUGCCAGCAGCCGCGGUAAUAAGUAGGGGGCAAUCGUUAUCCGGCUUUAAUGGGUGUAAAGGGAGCGUAGACGGCGCGGCAAGGCCGGAGUGAAAGCCCAUGGCUUAACCAUGGUACUGCUCUGGAAACUGUGGAGCUUGAGGGCGGGAGGGGCAGGCGGAAUUCCUAGUGUAGCGGUGAAAUGCGUAGAUAUUAGGAGGAACACCGGCGGCGAAGGCGGCCUGCUGGACCGUAACUGACGUUGAGGCUCGAAAGCGUGGGGAGCAAACAGGAUUAGAUACCCGGGUAGUC